GAUGAACGCUGGCGGCGUGCCUAAUACAUGCAAGUCGAGCGAACAGACGAGGAGCUUGCUCCUCUGACGUUAGCGGCGGACGGGUGAGUAACACGUGGAUAACCUACCUAUAAGACUGGGAUAACUUCGGGAAACCGGAGCUAAUACCGGAGAAUAUAUUGAACCGCAUGGUUCAAUAGUGAAAGACGGUUUUGCUGUCACUUAUAGAUGGUUCCGCGCCGCAUUAGCUAGUUGGUAAGGUAACGGCUUACCAAGGCAACGAUGCGUAGCCGACCUGAGAGGGUGAACCGCCACACUGGAACUGGGACACGGUCCAGACUCCUACGGGAGGCAGCAGUAGGGAAUCUUCCGCAAUGGGCGGAAGCCUGACGGCGCAACGCCGCGUUAGUGAUGAAGGUCUUCGGAUCUUAAAACUCUGUUAUUAGGGAAGAACAAAUGUGUAAGUAACUAUGCACGUCUUGACGGUACCUAAUCAGAAAGCCACGGCUAACUACGUG
rnacentral:rRNA from 1 species